CCUACGGGAGGCAGCAGUGAGGAAUAUUGGUCAAUGGACGAGAGUCUGAACCAGCCAAGUAGCGUGAAGGAUGACUGCCCUAUGGGUUGUAAACUUCUUUUAUAUGGAAAUAAAAUGUUCCACGUGUGGGAUUUUGUAUGUACCAUAUGAAUAAGGAUCGGCUAACUCCGUGCCAGCAGCCGCGGUAAUACGGAGGAUCCGAGCGUUAUCCGGAUUUAUUGGGUGUUAAGGGAGCGUAGGUGGAUUGGUAAGUCAGUUGUGAAAGUUUGCGGCUCAACCGUAAAAUUGCAGUUGAAACUGGCAGGCUUGAGUACAGUAGAGGUGGGCGGAAUUCGUGGUGUAGCGGUGAAAUGCUUAGAUAUCACGAAGAACUCCGAUGGCGAAGGCAGCUCACUGGACUGCAACUGACACUGAGGCUCGAAAGUGUGGGUAUCAAACAGGAUUAGAUACCCCAGUAGUC
rnacentral:rRNA from 1 species